rnacentral:lncRNA from 1 species
AAUUAGAUUAAAUUUAAUUUUAAAUCAUGUCGUUUUAAAUUUCAUUUGUUGAUUAUAUUUGAUUAUUGUUUAUUGUAGAAUUAUAUUAAAUAUAAAUAUUAAAUUACUAAAAAUAUAUAUAACAAUCAAAUAUGAGUCCGGCUGAGAUACUAUCGAUAGCACCAAAGAUUUAGUGCUAUCGAGUUUUCCACCGUUAGAUUUAACCCUUUGAUUAUUUUUAUCUAUUGUAUUAUAUUAUUCAACCAACCACCCACUGAACCCUAGGGAUUCCACAUCAUCCUAACUGCACAUUUCUCAAUCCAAAAGCUAAAAAACUUAUGCUAUUGAUAGUAUUCCAGCCUAGUUCAGGAAAUAUUAUUUAAAUAACAAAUUUCAUAGUAACUUGAGAAUUAAUUAUU